rnacentral:lncRNA from 1 species
GCCUGUUCUUCUCGUUCCACCCUCCUUUGCCCCCUUAAUAGCAGCUCCCCUAUUCUGAGCCCUCCAGAAUUCAGCAGCCCUUGGUGUCCAUCAGGUUAGAGGCAGCCUGACACUCCCGUUCUCAGUGAGCAGCUACUAGCAAUCCUUUCCACGUUAGUCACAUUGCUUUGGUCCCCUUGGUGAAUUGGGUAGGGCUCCUACUGUGCGGUGUGCUUUACAGGGAAGGGAUCUGCCAAGUGGUGGCUGGGUGGAGGGAGCUGGCCUAGGUUUAUUGGUGGUCCCAUGGCCAUUGUCUGGCAAGUGGGAGGGACUCUGAAUGGUUAUUAGCUGGGGACAACCUAGAAUGUGGAAGGUCACAUGGUAAGGAAACACCAGUGAACUAUGCAUAGGGCCACAGGCUCUUUGAGUUUUUAAAAUGCUCUUAUCUAAAAUGGACAUACAAGAGUUCCCGCUGUGGUACUGUGGGUUAAGGAUCAGAUUGCAGUGGCUCGGGUUGCUGGAGAGGUUCAGAUUUGAGCCCUGGCCCAGGAACUUUCAUGUGCCGCAGGUGAGGGCAUAAAAUCUUUAAAAAUUUAAAAAAUUAAAUGAAAUGUAAAUAUAAUAAUAUUUCAUAAUAAUCUCUAAAGGAAGAGAAUCUGAAGCAUGUAUAUGUAUGUAUAUACAUAUAUAUCUGAAUUACUGUGCUGUGUACUGAAACUAACAUGAUAUUGUAAAUCAACUAUAUUUCAAUUAAAAAUGGAAAAAAAAGGAAAUAUAAUACCACAUAGGGUUGUGUGGGUUAGAUGACAUACUAUGGAUUCACAUGUUUGGUAAAUUUGAAUGUGUUCUAUAAAUGUGAGAAAUUAAUAGAUGUGGUAUUAAUUAUAAUGAUUAGAGGAAGAGCAGAGGGAAGAAAUGUACUUGAAAGGAAGACUCUAGGGAGAUCAGAUGCUCGAUUCAUAAAUUAACGUGUGAUGAUGGAAUUUGAAGGCCUGGAUCAGAGAUGAUUCAGUAGGAACCUUCAGUACAUCCCACACGUAACACCAGGUAGGCAGCAGCCUCAUGUGUUCCUGAGCCCCUUUCUCUAGUUUUGUUUCUCCCUUGCCUAUGACUUCAUAUUAUUUUACCUCUUCAGACUCCAAAUAUCAAGAGUAAACUGCCGUGCAAUAAGUUGAGAGACCAGAAGGCAUCUUUAAUCAUUUACCUCUCUCCUCUUUGUCUCAUUUCCCCCUUGUGCAAAAUAUCGUGCCAUCUGACUUUUUUCUUUCCACCUGUGAAUAUCGAGAAAUAAAGCAAGAUGUUGUUUGCA